rnacentral:rRNA from 1 species
GUGCGAACGUUAUUCGGAAUCACUGGGCUUAAAGCGCGUGUAGGCGGGACGGCACGUCGGCCGUUGAAAUCCCCCGGCUCAACCGGGGAAGGGGCGCCGAUACGACCGUCCUGGAGGAACGUAGGGGGAGCUGGAACUUCCGGUGGAGCGGUGAAAUGCGUUGAGAUCGGAAGGAACGCCCGUGGCGAAAGCGAGCUCCUGGACGUUUUCUGACGCUGAGACGCGAAAGCCAGGGGAGCGAACGGG